AAUUAAUAAAACAAAGAUAUAAUUAAAAAAAAAAAAAAAAAAACAUAUUUUAUGUCCCUUCUUCUUCUUCUUUCUGCAGGUAUUGGAGACGACGGCGUGGAGACUUGGGACAUCAACGAUGAAGUGUCGAGGUUCUGGGUCGGCGAAGGGUUGGGUUUUGGGCGGCAGGCAUCGACAAAGCUUCUUCCUACUCUGAGAUCAAUGGUAGAUCUGAGAAUCAUGAGAGAAGCGAGAUUGAGGAACGACGGUGGCGGGUAGAUCUGGGCGAUGGGGACUCUGCUGGGCGACGGGGAUGAAGGUCAUCGGGGACAUUUUGCUUCUAAUCUAGAGUAGCCAAUGGGUCGACGGGGAUGAAGUUCUUGAGGUAGACAAUGGGGAGUUGCGACAGUGAGUUAGGAUUUGGGUUUUGCUUAUGAAAUUUUGGUUUGUAUGCACAUUAUUAUGAGUUAUGAUUAUAGAUUUUUGUUUGUGGCUAGUUGUGACUUGAUGAAUAAUUUUGGGUUUAUAGCUGGGUAAAUUUGGGUAGCAAAUAAGAACAAUGAUAUGCAAGUUAUGGAUUUUAGGUUUGUGACUAGGUAACAAUACUUGGAUGAUGAUGAAGAAGAAGAGGCAGAGGAGGAACGCGAUGGUGGGACAAGAAUAGGUUUUUUUAAAAUUUUAUUUUUAUUAGAUCUUUGUUUAAUUGUUAGUUAUAAUUUUAUAUAUUAAAAUUUUU